GUGCUCACUUCAGCAGCACACAUACUAAAAUUAGAAUGAUACAGAGAAGGUUAGCAUGGCCCCUAUGCAGGGAUGGCACACAAAUAAAAUGAAAUAAAAUUUA
ensembl:snRNA U6 U6 spliceosomal RNA